CUGAGGGAAGACUCACCCAGGAUAUGGUGGUACCAACUAACAGGUCUUUGGCCUGGACAAAAUAAACAGCAAAAAAGAAAGCGUGUUUUUCCAACAUAGAAGAGGAAGUAGAUGAGUAAUGUAUGUACAUAUAAUUUGAAGACUAGUUAUCAUUGGAGGCCCUCCCAGAAAACAGUUGUACAGGCAUGCAGGCCCCAGCCAGAGGCCCACCAGGACAGCAACAUGGCACAGAGAUCCAGAAAGCCAUCUUUCUAAGUCCAGGAAUUGGAGCAGUGGUAAGCAGUAAAGAGAAGGCCACUCCGAGGUUUGUUGAGAAUUGAAGCCCAUUGGGAGAGCAAAGAGCCACCUCAAAAAAGGUGCAGCAGACUGCAGUGGUUGGUGAGUUGUUCCUGUCAGUACCUCCUACUGGAAUCAGACUUGUAGGGGAAGGGUGGCUUGAACCUGCAGUUAAACUGUGCAAACUUUUCAUCUGGAGGAGGUCAGGGGGCGCAAUUCCAUCAUCACUGCCCAGAACCCAGCCUGAACGUCAGUGGACUACUGCUGGCUCCCUGAGAUCAGCCAACAUCUGAUCUGUACACUACAUUGUCUGAACUUUUUUUUUCUCCUUCAUUUCUCACUUUUCUUUAUCGUGUUUUUGUCCUGUUUUUUCUUGAUUGUUCUUAUUUUUAUAGGAGUGAGAACAGUUUCUGGUUCUUCUGUUGCUGUCAGUUUGUCCUGUUCUUGUUUUUGUUCCUUCCU